rnacentral:rRNA from 1 species
UACAGAGGUCUCAAGCGUUGUUCGGAUUCAUUGGGCGUAAAGGGUGCGUAGGUGGCGCCGUAAGUCAGGUGUGAAAUUUCGGAGCUUAACUCCGAAACUGCAUUUGAUACUGCGGUGCUUGAGGACUGGAGAGGAGACUGGAAUUUACGGUGUAGCAGUGAAAUGCGUAGAUAUCAGGAGGAACACCGGUGGUGUAGACGGCUUUCUGGACCGUAACUGACGCUGAGAACACGAAAGCGUGGGUAGCAAACAGG